rnacentral:lncRNA from 1 species
UCCUGUCACAGUCUUGUUGUCUCUGUUCGUGUGAGUCUCUGUGAGUGCUGUGAGGUUUCUGACAGACUUUGUGUGAAUCAGGGUCUCAGGAAGACGGAACAUUGGGAACGUCAGGAUGUCUGUCUCAAGAGGAGUUAUCAGAACAGGCUUCACAGGCCCAGGAUCUUGAGAGACUGGCUCAGCUCUGCAUCAUGAGCAAAAGACCCCACCUUGCUUUAGAAUACAGUGGCAAGGCCACUAAAAUCCACCAGAGGGCUUUUGGUAACGAUCACCCCAUCACAGCCCGGAGUCUGGAGCUGCUGGCCACUGUCUAUGCUGAGAUCGGCAAAACAGAAUAUACAAAUUCAUUGGGAGAGUGUGUGUCGACUCUUUCCAAAAGGUUCUCAGCCACCGAGUCAUUCAGCGAUGCUCUGAGUAGCAUCUCUCAUAGCCAUAAAAGCAGACACUCUGAGCUGCGACACAGAAAAGAGCCAUACAUACAACAGGAAACUCCUAAAACGAAGGUCAUAAAUGAAAAACUGCCCACCUCUAUUCUGAAAAGGUCCAAUGUGAGCAAUGUGGAGUCAGACUCAUUGCGCAGGCGAAAAAGCGAGAGGCGGGUUCGCUUCAGAGAGCCGGAGAUCACUGUUCAUGUCUACGACACCCCCCAGAGCCGUUUGCACCUGGCCCUGCUCACCUGCCUGUUCCUGCUUCUGUCUGCGCUGGGUCUAGCACUGUACUGCACGGACCGCCGAAGACCCCAGCGUGCCUGCGAAGAGCUGCAGACGGCACUGGCUGUGUACCUGCUUCAGUUCAAACAGAUCGUUUGGGCCUGCUGGAUCUGGCUGACCAUGCAAUGACCAUAACUGACCACAGGGGGCAGCAAUGGGCAGGGGAAAAAACAUAAAAGGUCAGGAUGUUUUUUGAAGGACUGCAGAAAAAAAAGAUAAAGGUCCCCUUGGUUUUUUUUUUAUUGCUUUACUUUCACUGUUAUAAUCAGUCUGGCCACCAGUCGAAGCCUAUGAGGAUGUUCAACAUCCACCUCUUUUACUUUGUGGUUGAUUGAAGGCCAUGUGCUUUUCCACACCAUCAAGGGAUGGUGUGCUUUUUUGCCCUUUAUGGUGGAAUAGCUAAUGCCACAUCCUCAUUAUAUGGAGCCGUGUGUAUUUAGAUCUCUGUAUGUAGCUCUUUUUCUUCCUAUAGCGGUUCUGGGUGAUAUGUCUUAAAGGAAUAGUUCACCAAAAAUGAAAAUUUUCUGAAAAUUGACUCAUCCUCAGGCCAUCCAAGAUGUAGAUGAGUUUGUUUCUUUAUCAGAACAGAUUUGGAGAAAUUUAGCAUUACAUCACUUGCUC